UAAACGCGGAUCGCUAGCGUCUGGUCGCAGCGAUCGGUCGCAGAACCAGCGACAGGUAAACGAACAACGUUUAGACGCUGGAACCGGUCGCUGACGCUAGCGACCGCGAAACGAACAGGGCCUUAGCAUCACAAACAAGGCAGUAGCAUAUCAACAUAUCAAAGCAUCUAGGCAUGUCUUGACCAUCAUCAUAACCAUCCAAAGCAGCCGAAAAGAGUCAGCAAGACUAGAAGAGCGACUUCAAACAAGGACCAAAAAUGACAAACCCAUCCAUAACUUGAUUGAAACCAGAAGAAAGCUUCAGAACCCCUGGGAACAAAGAGAACCCCCUUACCUGACCGGAUGCUUACCAAAAGAGACCUAACUGCAGAUGUCCGAAACCCGAACCCGAACCCGGACCCGGACCGAAGUGGAGAGAUCGUAUCGGUUCUGGAUCCACCGAAAUACC
rnacentral:lncRNA from 1 species